rnacentral:tRNA from 1 species
UAGAUUAAGGCCGGAUUUGGGUAUUUAGUUGUUAAUUAAAAAGUCGUAGGGUAAAAGCCUACUAAUCUAG